CACACCUAACUGAACAACACUGUGUGGCCCACAGAGAGGACUUGGGCAUUGGUGAUGUGUGGAAAGAUGUGCCUUUGAUGCGUGAUGUGAAAACUUCUUAGAACGGUUUACUCCACUUUCUCUAGAUCCACUGUAAAGAGGGGAAAAUUGGAAGACCAGCAAAAGUUCUUGAUGAGGAUGCACUGUCAUUCAGGCCUCUGAGUGAAGUGCGAUGGCUGUCGCAUCACCAAGCUGUGAAUGCUGUUCUGAUUAGCUACACUGUGCUGGAAGAAUACUACAAGAGAGAAUUCAGUGAUAACAGAGAUCCAGUGGCAAAUUACUGUUACAAAAAGCUAACCGAUUCAAACCUCAAGGUUAUUCUCACCGCUCUGGGAGAUGUUUUGGGUGAGCUGGCACACCUAUGUCUUUCUUUUCAAAGAUGCAACCUGACUGUGAUGGAAGGGCACUGCUUGGCAAGAGCAAAGAUUGAGAAGUUGCGUUCCCAAUACUUGACAGGAGAAAAGGAUGUUAAGUGGAGUGACUGUGUCAAAGAGGCGAGGAGGGCCUCAUCUGGUGAUGGCAGGAAUACCGCAUCCAGAAAUCAUCUUGAGGUGGACCAUUUGGACCAGCUGAUGCGCAUAAAGUCAAAGCUGCAAGCAGACGAGGCCAUCAACCCGGACGAAGUGUACAACCACUGGAGACAUGAGAAGGACAGACGGGAAAAAAAAGACAAAGAGUUUCAGGACAGUAGGACUGUCUCCCAGACUGCAGUAGGACAAGAGGACCAGGAGCUUCACAGACUGGCUCAUACUCAUCAUAACACAAGUCAGAGCUUUAUAAUAAAAAUGUUAAGUUCCAAAAUUGGAGUUUAUAGUAGGCUUGAUGUGGUUGGCAGUUCAUUUUUUGCCAUACUUAAAAUUAAAUGUUCAUACUUCCAAUAGCGUUAACAUAGUGCACAGGUCAUUAAAAAAAGUUUGUUGUAAUUUUCACUCUAAGUGGG
ensembl:lncRNA